GGGGGCGGGGGAGCUUCUACAGCUCUCAGAAAGGAAGCACCGGCCCACCAGCCCAUCUGGCAUUUGCCAGAAGUGCCAGAUGGGCAGUCCGGCACUGACUGUCACCCACCUUCCCUGCAUGCAGGUCUACAAGAACCUUAUCAUUACUGCUAAAGGUUCAAUCAGCAGGAGGCAUCCCUUAUACUAUAGUGGCCAGAUCUGAGUUCUAAAGCAUUUAUGUUUGUUAAGAAAUCCAUUUUCUUAGUACAAACUUUUUAAAAGUUUUGGACUUGCAGACCCCAAAAGAAACAGUGACACCUGCAGGCACUGAGAAGAUUUGAAGAUCACUAAAAGUGGAUGGAAAAAGUACCACAGGAGAGGACUUUAUCCUGAUACCCCCAAAUGGCUACAUAUUCAGACAAGCCCGGUUACAUUUUCAUUUUACAUUAUUCUAUUCCAGAAAUUAUUAUUAUUAUUUUAUUUUAUUUUUUUCAUUGUAUGUAUUCUUCUGUGAGUGCCUUCCUGAUUUGUAGUCUGGUAAUUUCAUGAACAUUGUGACCAUUUCUAUGUAAAUCAGCAGUAGUCUCAUAGACCUGGACUUCCAGGUUGGUUUCUAAUAACCUGGUCUGGCAAAAAGUACAGGUUCCUUGUAGAGACAAAGAUACAAUUUUGGAGGGGUGGAUUUGAAUUAAAAUGUAAAAAGUAGGGUAGAAAGGAAACUAUCACAAUGGGAACACUAGAUUUACUUGUGCACCAUUCCAAUACUGUACUUACUGUAAAUUUUAUUUUUACAAACGUGCAUAUCUUUAAUAAAUCCACUUCCACGUGUAAGGUACUGAAUAUAUAUAUAUUUACACCUCCCUAGUACUGCUGGCAAACCACACUUUGAAAUAAAAUAUUUGGGGAGGGGGGUUGUGGUGACUCUGCAUUGCCACCUAAAGUGGUUUAUCAGAAGUGGCCGUAACAUUUUUGUCCUUGUAAAGUAUCUCUUGCAGAAUAUUUGGGGGCGGUGGAAGGGAAGAUACUAGGCACUUCUAAUCAGCCAUGACCAAAGCAUCAUCACAGGAAUAUUAAUAGGAUAGCUGAAAGAUUUCGUUAGUACAGUAAAUGCUGAAGGAAUAUGUUUAGAAAGAUUAAAAAAAAACAACUGCGACUGCCAUAUUGGUUUAUUUGUCACUAUUCUAGAUUCAGUAUU